GGGCGUGUGUUUUAGGGGUAUAACGUUCGCUUCGCAUUUUCUACCAAAUUCGCUGUGAAAGGUCUUGGGUUCAAUUCCCAACUCGUCCA